CACGUAGGGCGCAAGCGUUGUCCGGAAUUAUUGGGCGUAAAGAGCUCGUAGGCGGUCUGUUGCGUCAGCUGUGAAAACCCGCAGCUCAACUGUGGGCUUGCAGCUGAUACGGGCAGGCUUGAGUUCGGUAGGGGGGACUGGAAUUCCUGGUGUAGCGGUGAAAUGCGCAGAUAUCAGGAGGAACACCGGUGGCGAAGGCGGGUCUCUGGGCCGAUACUGACGCUGAGGAGCGAAAGCGUGGGGAGCGAACAGG
rnacentral:rRNA from 1 species